rnacentral:rRNA from 1 species
GACGAACGCUGGCGGCGUGCUUAACACAUGCAAGUCGAACGGAAAGGCCCUGCUUUUGUGGGGUGCUCGAGUGGCGAACGGGUGAGUAACGCGUGAGUAACCUGCCCUUGACUUUGGGAUAACUUCAGGAAACUGGGGCUAAUACCGGAUAGGAGCUCCUGCUGCAUGGUGGGGGUUGGAAAGUUUCGGCGGUUGGAGAUGGACACGCGGCUUAUCAGCUUGUUGGUGGGGUAGUGGCUUACCAAGGCUUUGACGGGUAGCCGGCCUGAGAGGGUGACCGGCCACAUUGGGACUGAGAUACGGCCCAGACUCCUACGGGAGGCAGCAGUGGGGAAUAUUGCACAAUGGGCGGAAGCCUGAUGCAGCAACGCCGCGUGCGGGAUGACGGCCUUCGGGUUGUAAACCGCUUUCGCCUGUGACGAAGCGUGAGUGACGGUAAUGGGUAAAGAAGCACCGGCUAACUACGUGCCAGCAGCCGCCGUAAUAC